rnacentral:snoRNA from 1 species
UGUACAUCUCACUCAUUGUGUACACUAUGACCAAAGAUUGAAGUUCUCCAGAGGAUGUCAUAGUCACUCAAAAGUCAUGUUAUCCUGAGGAGAUAUAAGA